AAGGUACUCAAGUGUUGGUCUGCUUCAUCAUUCUACUCUCAACAGUGUGUCGUAUCUUUCUUCCCAAAGAUGACUUACAACCAGAAGCUGGAAACAACUUAGAUGUCCCAUGACAGAAGAAUAGAUACAGAAAAUGUGGUUCAUUACACAAUGGAAUACUACUCAGCUAUUAAGAACUAGGACAUUCUGACUUCUGCAGGCAAAUGGAUGGAACUAGAAAAUAUCAUCCUGAGUGAAGUAACUCAGACCCAAAAGGACUUGCAUGACUUUAAGGUGAGAGCAGAUGUCCCAGUUUUCUAAAAUCUUCUUCCAACAUGAUCCAAGUAGCUAAUGCAGAAAUGAAGUAAAGGAACUCUGCUGAGAGACUUCUGGUCAUCAGUAACUAUAUAAGGGCACCGGCAGCUGUUGGGACAAGUGGAAGGACUUCAGAGACAUGUCACAGUAGUUUCAGAAACGGCGACAGGGCACCUCACCUGACAGAUGUGAAGGACAGGCUCAGUGUGUUCACUCUCCAGCUUGUGGGGAAAGCAAGGACACCUCUAAGGAAAAUGCUUCUCUUUGGAAAUCCAGGAAGGCUUUGAAGGCAUGAAGGGGUCAUGGAGAGCGGCUGAGGCUCAGCACAGUGAGAAGCCAGAAGCCACUGGUGAACGUGCAGCCUCAGUUGAAAUAGAAACCAGAGACUUGAGGAUUUCACGGAGAGAAGGUCAUGCUCCCAUGAUGCAGUGGCAAUCAAGAUCACCUCUUCAAGACCCUACCACCUCUCAAAUAGCAGAACACAGGCGGAUCCUGCCACCCACCUGUCAUCUCCUCAAGAUCAACUCCCCCUCCAUUUCCUCUUCACAAAGGAGCAUGCCUCCAAGAAAAGACAGCCAAACAGGACAACACAAGAUACAAUAACAAUAAGCACAAACUCUCAUAUCAAGGCUGGACAAGGCAAUCCAAUAGGAGAAGAAGAGUCGCAAGAGCAGGCAAAAGAGCUAGAGAUACACCCACUUCCUUAUUGGAGUCCCACGGAAACACCAAGCUAACAGCCAUACAGAUACCCAGAGGACCUGGUACAGAGCCAUGCUGGCCCUGGUCUUGCCACUUCAGUGAUAAUUAAUCUGCCAAUUUGAAAGUUUUGAAGUCCUUAUUUUAUCUGGCCUCUCAUUCUUACUUUAUCCACAACAACCUAAGUGAGGCAAAGACUUUGUGGUUCCUAUUUGAAAGAUGAAAAGCAAAGGUUAGGAAAGGCCAGAAGAGAGCCGCUAAGACUGAUCAGUCAGGGGAAAAUGUACUUGUCACCAAGCCUGACAACCUGAGUUCAGCCUUCAGAGCACACAUGAUGGAAGGAAGCAGAGAACAGGGCCUUACAAGUUGUCAUCUGACCUUCACAUGCCCUGCCCCCAAAUAAAUGGAUAAAUGCAGUUUUACAUUUUAUACAAAGAAGGACCUUGGUGCUUACAGUUAGUCACAAUUCAUUAUACAUGCUGAGGGCAAAGGUAUGCAGUGUUCUGGCCGUAAAGCAAACAAAUAAAAAAGAAUGUGGUGUGGCAGCGAAUGCCUUUAAUACCAGCACUUGAGAGGCAGAAGUUUUGUCCCAGGCUAGCCUGGUCUACAGAGCCAAUUCCAGGCGAGCCAGGGCUACAUAGUAAGAUUCUGGCUCAAGAAAGAAGAAAGAACAGGAGGAAAGGGGGGGGGGGGAGGUGGGAGAGGAGAGAGAGGAGGAGGAGGAGGAGGAGGAGGAGGAGGAGGGACACACUAGGCCAUGCAUAUGUUAACUAAUUGUGUUUAACUAUUUUAUAAUAUCCACUUAUUUCAAAAUAUCAUGAUGGAUGUGACAAAUAUGGGCAACAUUUGGUUUUCAAUAAGAAGAAAGGAAAGGUUGAGAGGCUUCUGCAACUACCAUGACGAGCUGGAGUCCAGGAGAGCAAAGAGAGCGUCUGGGGCUUUAGCAAUGAGCCAGCCCCGUGAUGACAUCAUCCCAUCCAUCAUUAAAGUAGAAAACAAAGGGAGGACAGAAGAAGACCGGAACAUCGAAAACACCAGAUCUCGCCUAUGAACACGCAAGAAACUUAUUUUUCUGUCUCUCCGUGCUGCAACUUCUUGGAUUUAACAGCAGUGCGAGAGAUGGAAAGCAAUCUCCAUAGAGUCUCUCUCAGGAGAAAUGACCUACUUCAGCUGACAUUACUCCCCGUCGCUGCCCUGAGCCGUGGGAAUUACCUUGUCCGUGUAUUUUCAUUCAGAAUGAAUGCUUUAAUAUAUUUCUUUAAUCAUCUGUUGCAUCGGAGAACACUGUUUCAUGCAUAUUAAAGACCCGUGCAUGUAAAGGACGGGUGCUCUGACUAAUAAACGCACUCAAAGCAUGCCACCCGUUCUUAUUGCCUUUCUUAGCUGCAGGAUAGAUGCGUUUUAUUUGGCAACGGAUAAUAAUAAGAAGAGGGAUGGGGACAAGGACCACGGGAGUGCUUCUGUUAAACAAAGGGAAGUGUUUUAUUUAGAAAAUGGUGUUGGGGCUUGCGAAGAUGGUCACCUUUUGGAGGACUUAGUCUGUACCCUCUUUCCAGACUGUGUCACCCCACCCCAUCCCACUCGAGAACAUCAAACUAUAAAUACUGGAAGCUUCUGUGUGCCCAGCGUGAGGCUGUGUGAAGAUGUUAAGGCGCAGCUUCUCCGCAGCUGGCUUUCUACUCAGGUUUGGACAUAGCAUACUUCCAGGAAAUAAGGUUGAAAGAUAUGAAUCGCAUGCUCCAGGGAAAGAUUCGGAAAAGGAAUCACAGAGGGAUAGAGUUGAGUGGAGUUUAGUUAAGAGUGAAGCGUGGGAAGGCUGGACUGAAGACUUGGGGGCGGGGGUGGGGUGGCAAGGCGGGUUAAGGAAGGUAGAAUUUGGUUUCCGGGUUUGAUAAACGUUUACGGUUCCACUCACCCAUCUAUGAGGUAGAGUCACAAAGAUAAAUGACAUGGUUCCUGCUAUGAAGUUCAAGAUGGAAGUGACUCUAAGGAAACUAUUUUAAUAUGUGUGGUGGGAGCCACGCCAAAGCAGGCACGCGUAGUAUCUUACCUGCGAGCCAAGGGAGGUCACGUGACUCCGCUGGGGCGAAGCAGGAGGAGAAAAAGUUCCUUGUAGUUGUUUUGCUUACCAGGAAUCUUACAAGAGAAACGCUAAGACAAGAAGGAAUUACGUAGAAUUUGAUUGGAACUGACAUUCUAGGUGAUUGGAAUCAUUUGGUGAGGGAAAGAAGAAAGGAAUACUGUAUCAUCCUUCAUCAAAUGAACGAUUACCACAUUCAUCGAUUUAAACAAAAGUUUAAGGAGCUGGAGAAGCGACUAACUCACUUGCUUCUAUUACACACUAGACCCGUGUAUCAAAUUGUUACACCCUAUCCCGUGGUUUUCCGCAAUUAAGAUAGCCAUUAGUAGAAGGGGACUUUUUGAACGACCGAGCAUCUUCCUUUAGUUACAGCGAGUCUUGUGUGCUGGAAACAAUGAGAGUGAUGGAUGAAGGCGCAGGCUGGAGCCAAGCCAGAGGCACGCUGGUCCACCGUAGUAAGGGAUUCUGACAUCGAUGGAGACAGGACAUAGAUAUUCUACAGGACAUGGAGAAAGGAGUUGAAGAGAGUGCAGGUUUGUGAGGAGGGACUGGAAGGCAGCAGGGUGAGGAGAAGAAAGGGAAGUCACCCCGAUUCUCUGUACCUUCUCAAGACAUUGGUGCUGAUCUGGAAGGCCAUCAGAGUCCAUGGUCCUGUUCUGGCAUUCUUAUUGUGAGGCUCGGGUGAUGCGAGUCUCCUGUGCAUGAUGCCAUGUGGUCAGAUGACCAAAUCAGGUUGCAGGAACAGGGCCAUCAAACCCACCAGCCCCAAGUUGGCCAGUAAAACACAAGACCUAGAAAGUGAGUGCAAUGCUUGGCUAUACAAGUUAAGGGCACACUUCCUCAGAUAACUAACUUUGUCUGUUUUCCAGCGUGUUUAGUUUCCAUUGCACCAUUUAGCAUUUGUGUGUGUGUGCUCAAACAGAUCUGAACUCUAUAAAGACUUUUUUUUUCUCAAAAAUUGAACCUAUUUAAUAACCUCAACAAAUUGCAUUUGCCCAGACCCUGUUAUAAUUGUAAAAACCAAACCAAACCA
rnacentral:lncRNA from 1 species